rnacentral:rRNA from 1 species
AUUGAACGCUGGCGGCAUGCCUUACACAUGCAAGUCGAACGGUAACAGGUCUUCGGAUGCUGACGAGUGGCGAACGGGUGAGUAAUGCAUCGGAACGUGCCCAGUUGUGGGGGAUAACUGCUCGAAAGAGCAGCUAAUACCGCAUACGACCUGAGGGUGAAAGCGGGGGAUCGCAAGACCGCGCGCAAUUGGAGCGGCCGAUGUCAGAUUAGGUAGUUGGUGGGGUAAAGGCCUACCAAGCCGACGAUCUGUAGUUGGUCUGAGAGGACGACCAGCCACACUGGGACUGAGACACGGCCCAGACUCCUACGGGAGGCAGCAGUGGGGAAUUUUGGACAAUGGGCGCAAGCCUGAUCCAGCAAUGCCGCGUGCAGGAAGAAGGCCUUCGGGUUGUAAACUGCUUUUGUCAGGGAAGAAAUCCUCUGGGUUAAUACCCCGGGGGGAUGACGGUACCUGAAGAAUAAGCACCGGCUAACUACGUGCCAGCAGCCGCCGCGG